UUCGACGUUUCGGCCGGAGUCCGGCCUUCGUCAGGACGUUUCGGCCGGAGUCCGGCCUUCGUCAGGCCUCCUGACGAAGGCCGGACUCCGGCCGAAACGUCGA
rnacentral:pre_miRNA from 1 species